UGUAACGAGUCUAUAAAACUGUAAUUUGUAUUUAUUUUAUUAUUUAUUUUAUAUUUUAAUAUUAUGUAUUUUAUUUUAUUUUAUUUGCAAACCUGGACCACAAAAGCAAUUAUAAGCAAAAAAAAAAAAAAAAAAUUUUUUUAUUUAAAAAAUCAUUAGGAUAUUAAUUCAAUGGAAAGGAUUUAUAUUUAGCUUUUAGAAGUCAUAUAAAUCUCAAUUUCAAAAAAUUGACCCUUUUGACUGGUUUUGUGGUCCUGGGUCACAUUUUAUUUUUUAUUUUUACAAUACUUUUUAUUUAGUCUAUUGUAAUAUUUUUGCCGUAUGGGUUAUAUUUUCCUCUGGGAGUGGAGGCACCAUUGAAUAGUGCUGCUAAAGAUUACCCACAAUUCCUGUGUGCACAAAGCAGAACAUAACAUAUUACAUAGUGGGCAUAAAAUCAUAGCCAGACUGCAGUUAAAAGAGCAGUUUUACCAGUGCAGCAACAAUGACAUGAUUUUGUCUAAUAUGCCAAGGCACAGCCAUUUAGACUUUUUGUUUAGGUUAUUGUUUUGAAUUGUUUAGCUGAAUUUAUUCAUUUUCUUCCCACUUCAUCCUGGAAGAGUUUGAAGGCUUGGGAAAGUCUUUUUCCUGGUACUCAGAUGUAUUAAAUUUGUAAAGCCUGUGAGUUUAGGGAAUUUCUUUUGAAUGAAUACUUAAUGGCAAUCAUCGGUCAUUGAGAAGGACGAGGGACUACUUUCAUCCUUCAUAAACCAUUUCAUGCAGGAAAAUAUGAAGAACCCUUUGUAUGCCCUAAUCGCCCAACGCUGCUCCCAGCAACCCUUCAGAGGAGAUCCUCAUGGCUGACGGUCCGCGGUUUGAGCAGGAGGCCCCUGUCAGGGAAACCCUGCUCCAGAAGAUCUGUACUCUGGAGCUCCGAUCCAAAACCCAGUGACCCGCCUAAUUGGCGGGCCUUCAUCAAACCCAGAACUAAUCGAGCUGUUUGUUCCAGGCUGGGGAGAAAGGUAUAGUAAUAAUGUAAAUUACAGUAUGUGAAAAAUAAUUCAUUUUUCUUAUCACCAAGCAUGAAAGCAUGUUCUAGUACACCAAGACUUUGUAAAAGAGCAUAAUUUUGAUGUGUGUGUAUUAAAUCUGUCAAAAAUGGUCAGUUUGACCUAAAAUUUUACAUCUGCAAAUUGUCUAUUCUUCCUAUU
ensembl:lncRNA